AUGCAUGUCUAAGUAUAAGCAAUUAUACAGCGAAACUGCGAAUGGCUCAUUAUAUAAGUUAUCGUUUAUUUGAUAGUGCCUUACUACUUGGAUAACCGUGGUAAUUCUAGAGCUAAUACAUGCUAAAAACCCCGACUUCGGAAGGGGUGUAUUUAUUAGAUACAAAACCAAUGCCCUUCGGGGCUCUUUGGUGAUUCAUGAUAACUAUACGAAUCGCACGGCCUUGCGCCGGCGAUGGUUCAUUCAAAUUUCUUCCCUAUCAACUUUCGAUGUUUGGGUAUUGGCCAAACAUGGUUGCAACGGGUAACGGAGGGUUAGGGCUCGACCCCGGAGAAGGAGCCUGAGAAACGGCUACUACAUCCAAGGAAGGCAGCAGGCGCGCAAAUUACCCAAUCCCGACUCGGGGAGGUAGUGACAAUAAAUACUGAUACAGGGCCCUUUCGGGCCUUGUAAUUGGAAUGAGUACAAUUUAAAUCCCUUAACGAGGAACAANNNNNNNNNNNNNNNNNNNNNNNNNNNNNNNNNNNNUCCAGCUCCAAUAGCGUAUAUUAAAGUUGUUGUGGUUAAAAAGCUCGUAGUUGAACCUUGGGCCUGGCUGGCCGGUCCGCCUCACCGCGUGCACUGGUCCGGCCGGGCCUUUCCCUCUGUGGAACCCCAUACCCUUCACUGGGCGUGGCGGGGAAACAGGACAUUUACUUUGAAAAAAUUAGAGUGCUCCAGGCAGGCCUAUGCUCGAAUACAUUAGCAUGGAAUAAUAAAAUAGGACGCGCGGUUCUAUUUUGUUGGUUUAUAGGACCGCCGUAAUGAUUAAUAGGGACAGUCGGGGGCAUCAGUAUUCAACUGUCAGAGGUGAAAUUCUUGGAUCUAUUGAAGACUAACUACUGCGAAAGCAUUUGCCAAGGAUGUUUUCAUUAAUCAGGAACGAAAGUUAGGGGAUCGAAGACGAUCAGAUACC
rnacentral:rRNA from 1 species